rnacentral:lncRNA from 10 species
CAGGACGUGAGAGUGGAAAGGGAGUGGUAUCAGAUGAGGCAGAGGCCAAGUAGACUAUGGAAGAAAACUUGGAUUUCACUCUUGCCACUGAAGCUGAAGAGUGAUUAAGAUCUAGCCAACAUUUAGAAAGAUCAUCCUGGCUACUUUGGAGAGUGGACAGAGGCAGGACAAGACAAGGAGACAAAUUGCACUGGUGCAGCUGUUUGGCAAAGGGAGAUUAUUUUGGUGGGACAGUCUAAUCACACAAACUCUUUACAAGCAGAGGUUUCUCUGGCUGGCAGCAGAAGACAGAGAGAGAGAUUCAAAGUAUGAGAAGGGCUUGAUGGGACAUUAUUGGUCUGAAGAUGGAGGGUCAUGUAAGAAGAAAUGUGGAUAGCUUCUAGUAGC